rnacentral:rRNA from 1 species
UUGUCUUUUAAUUGAAGACUGGAACAAAAGAUUUAACAAUCCAAUUAAUAUACUUCAAUUAAUUAUGUUAAUUUAUUUUAAAUGUAAAAAAACAUUUAUAAUCUAGGAAGACGACAAGACCCUAUUAAACUUAACUGUAGUUAAACUGGGGCAGUUAAUUAAUUAACACUUUUAUAAAAUUUAAUACAUAAAAGAUCCAAUAUAAUUGAUUAUAUGAUCAAGUUACUAUAGGGAUAACAGCGCAAUAUUUAUCUAAAGUCCUUAUUCAAAUAAAAGAUUACGACCUCGAUGUUGAAUUAAUAUCCUAAAUUAUUGCAGUAAAUAAAUAAAGGAAGUCUGUUCGACUUUUAAAAAAUUACA